rnacentral:lncRNA from 1 species
AAUCAAUCACAUAAUAAUAUUGCAUAAAUGUAUUCAAGCUUAAUAUAAUGCAAAUGUUAUAAGAUCUAGAAUUUUGUGUACCUUAUAUAAUGGAUUUCUUCAUUUGAGAUUCAAUGAUGGGAGCAUCUUCAAUUGUUUGAAAUUUCACCACAUGCUCGUCAUUGUAAAUAUAAGACACUUGGUUGACGGUUGAGGAAAAAAGUUUUAUCUUUUAGAGCAUUCUCCAAUGUUGAGUAAAUUCAUCAUCUCUCAAGUAUCUU